rnacentral:rRNA from 1 species
CCUACGGGUGGCAGCAGUGAGGAAUAUUGGUCAAUGGGCGUAAGCCUGAACCAGCCAAGUCGCGUGAGGGAUGAAGGUUCUAUGGAUCGUAAACCUCUUUUAUAAGGGAAUAAAGGGUGGGACGUGUCCUAUUUUGUAUGUACCUUAUGAAUAAGGAUCGGCUAACUCCGUGCCAGCAGCCGCGGUAAUACGGAGGGUCCGAGCGUUAUCCGGAUUUAUUGGGUUUAAAGGGUGCGUAGGCGGCCUUUUAAGUCAGCGGUGAAAGUCUGUGGCUCAACCAUAGAAUUGCCGUUGAAACUGGGGGGCUUGAGUCUGUUUGAGGCGGGUGGAAUGCGAGGUGUAGCGGUGAAAUGCUUAGAGAUCACGCAGAACCCCGAUUGCGAAGGCAGCCUCCCAAGCCAUGACUGACGCUGAGGCACGAAAGCGUGGGGAUCAAACAGGAUUAGAUACCCCUGUAGUC